CGGGGUGCAGCAGGCGCGAAAACUUUACAAUGCGGGAAACCGUGAUAAGGGGACAUCGAGUGCCAGCAUCAUAUGCUGGCUGUCCAGAGUGUGUAAAAUACACCUCAUAGCAAGGGCCGGGCAAGACCGGUGCCAGCCGCCGCGGUAACACCGGCGGCCCGAGUGGUGAUCGUGAUUAUUGGGUCUAAAGGGUCCGUAGCCGGCUUGGUCAGUCCUCCGGGAAAUCAGAUAGCUCAACUAUUAGGCUUUCGGGGGAUACUGCCAGGCUUGGAACCGGGAGAGGUAAGAGGUACUUCAGGGGUAGGAGUGAAAUCUUGUAAUCCCUGAGGGACCACCAGUGGCGAAGGCGUCUUACCAGAACGGAUUUGACGGCGAGGGACGAAAGCUGGGGGCACGAACCGGAUUAGAUACCCGGGUAGUCCCAGCCGUAAACGAUGCUCGCUAGGUGUCAGGCAUGGCGCGACCGUGUUUGGUGCCGCAGGGAAGCCGUGAAGCGAGCCACCUGGGAAGUACGGCCGCAAGGCUGAAACUUAAAGGAAUUGGC
rnacentral:rRNA from 1 species